GCCGAGACCUAGAGCGCCGGAAGGAGGCCCAAAGGAAGCGGGGGCGGCUGCGCACCGGGAGCGCGCGGGGCAGGGCUGAUCGCGCUCCCGACAGGGACUACUCUCUGGGCUUCCGCUCGGCCUUGCCUCUCCUGGGCUGACAUCAUUGCCAGAGCGAGGGGUUGCCCAAGCGAAGGCGACUGGAGAAAAAGGUUUUUGGGCCUCGCUAAUGGAGGCGCUCCCUUACUUCUUGGCAGAAGCACCGAGGUGGAGGUGGAGGCUGGACUCAGAACUUGGGAGCUGCGCGAGGGAAUUCUUAAUUUAGCAGAGGGAGAAAGGGAACGUAUCGGGGAAGAGGAAAGAGGACACCAGAAGCGUUUCUAAAAUCAUUCUUGUCAUAGUCAAGACCCCAGGAGUGGGCAGCGGGAAGCCUAAGUGCUGCACUCACGCCUCACUGGCCACGCUCUAUUCUGGCACCCGGACCGGAUACUUACCCAGUGAACGAAGCCUCUACAGCAGAAUGAGGUGGGCCCUGACUCCAACUAGAGAACAAGCAUUCAGAAGCACCAUUUUUUCAUACAAAGGAUACCGAAGGCAAACUGGUGGAAGUAGGGGCAGGAGCUGGGCGAAACCAUAGUUGGAGCCAAGAGACUGUGUCUGCAUAUGUCAUACUCAUCUGUGAGCCAGGCUUGAAUAGCUAUACACACUUGGUGUGGACAGAAACUGCAGCUGAAUUUCUCUCAUAGGAGCCUGGGAAUUAUGGCCUCGUGUAUAUAGCUGAACUUCACUGAAGCACUGAGCUCUGAUUAAUGCAAUUAAAGAAGUAAAGAUUUUAUUUAUUUAUUUGAGAGAUAGAGAGAG